rnacentral:misc_RNA from 1 species
AAAGAAGGCAGCAAUUCAUUGAUAUGACAAGUUUAACUAAUUUUCAAAAAUAAUGAGUUGCAUUGCAUGUUGCAUUUCUAAGUGGGUCCCAAGUCUCUGUAAACUUGAGAAUGCUAAUUUGUCCAAACACUGAUUUGUUUGUACUGCUGCCUUCCUACUUUAAAAUAUUUGAGUAAGCGAAGAAUGACGAUUAAUAAUUCAGUUGCUUUUAACUUCGGCAAUAUAAACUUUAAAAGAUCCUUCAUUAAUUAAUUUUUUGGGUGCUGGAAAUUAAGAUAAUUAUGAUUUUUUU